rnacentral:rRNA from 1 species
UGCAGAAUCCCGUGAACCAUUGAGUUUUUGAACGCAAGUUGCGCCCGAAGCCAUCCGGUUGAGGGCACGUCUGCCUGGGCGUCACGC